rnacentral:rRNA from 1 species
AGGGCACCACCAGGAGUGGAGCCUGCGGCUUAAUCUGACUCAACACGGGAAAACUCACCCGGCCCGGACACUGGAAGGAUUGACAGAUUGAGAGCCCUUUCUUGAUUCAGUGGGUGGUGGUGCGUGGCCGUUCUUAGUUGGUGGAGUGAUUUGUCUGGUUAAUUCCGAUAACGAACGAGACUCUAGCCUAUUAAAUAGAUCGUUGGCUUACAAACGCCGGCGAGACUUCUUAGAGGGACAGGCGGCGAUUCAGCCGCACGAAACAGAGCAAUAACAGGUCUGUGAUGCCCUUAGAUGUCCGGGGCCGCACGCGCGCUACACUGAAGUGAUCAGCGUGCAUUUUGAAACCUACUCUGUCAAGAGUGGGGAACCCAAUGAACCUUCUUCGUGAUUGGGAUAGGGGAUUGUAAUUAUUCCCCUUGAACGAGGAAUUCCCAGUAAGCGCGAAUCAUAAGUUUGCGCUGAUUACGUCCCUGCCCUUUGUACACACCGCCCGUCGCUACUACCGAUUGAAUGUUU